rnacentral:rRNA from 1 species
GAUGAACGCUGGCGGCGUGCCUAAUACAUGCAAGUCGAGCGAACAGACGAGGAGCUUGCUCCUCUGACGUUAGCGGCGGACGGGUGAGUAACACGUGGAUAACCUACCUAUAAGACUGGGAUAACUUCGGGAAACCGGAGCUAAUACCGGAUAAUAUAUUGAACCGCAUGGUUCAAUAGUGAAAGACGGUUUUGCUGUCACUUAUAGAUGGAUCCGCGCCGCAUUAGCUAGUUGGUAAGGUAACGGCUUACCAAGGCAACGAUGCGUAGCCGACCUGAGAGGGUGAUCGGCCACACUGGAACUGAGAGACGGUCCAGACUCCUACGGGAGGCAGCAGUAGGGAAUCUUCCGCAAUGGGCGAAAGCCUGACGGAGCAACGCCGCGUGAGUGAUGAAGGUCUUCGGAUCGUAAAACUCUGUUAUUAGGGAAGAACAAAUGUGUAAGUAACUAUGCACGUCUUGACGGUACCUAAUCAGAAAGCCACGGCUAACUACGUG